GACAUAUUGCAGCGUCAGGGCUGUUUGAGGUGAGCUGUCAAGACAGUUUUAGUCUAUUAGCCUACUGAUGGUGGGAAGAUGAGGUGGCUUGCUGGGAUGUGGUGAAGAGCUUAUUUCCCAGCGUGCCCGACCCAAGACCACUCAGCCACACACAUGGUAGGAAAACGGUCCCCAGGCUCCCAGGGCCAACCAUCCUUUGUGAGUGCAAAGAUUUGGGUCAGAGGACCAUCUUUUCCCUUAUGAGUUCCAAAUGAGGAGUGUGGUUGACAGAUGUGACCUUCAGGGGAACCCCCUUACACACUGGUGGAUUGCCUCCUACAAGGAGGAGCAAGGAGAACAUGUUUUGAGAUGUGCUACAAUCCUCAGAGGCCAAAAAACAAGACUGCAGGGCAUGGAGAGGGACUUUAAAAUAAAAUGAUAAAAUAGUCUGGACAGAAAAGAGAGCCAGGAGUGAAUUUUAAUGGCCAGGAGCAGAUGAUAAAAGUGAUAGAGGAGCAAACGGAGAUGUUGAAGUUUCUAAUUACACUGCCAGCUGAAUUCAUGUGUGGUUGCUCCCCCCCUGCAGCCAAUAUGGAACUGUUUUCCAUGCCCUCCCACACAUUCCUUGCAACUUCCUGGCCCAUCUCAGUACCCUGUUCACUCCACCCCUUCAGACAGCUUCAAAAAUGAUAGCUGGACUUACAUAGAGCUAUCACACAGCCCUUCAUUGUUAUCUCCUUUCCAACCAAGCCUUUUGGGUGUGUUG